AUCGCUUCUCGGCCUUUUGGCUAAGAUCAAGUAUAGUAUCUGUUCUUAUCAGUUUAAUAUGUUCCAAAAGGGCAGAUGGAAAAGAGGUGGAAUAGAUGUACUCAGAAGACAGGGCUACCAAGAUAUGGGAAUGGUUUGAAAGCCUUAUGAGUUAUAUGGGGUUGAAAAUUUA
rnacentral:snRNA from 1 species